CGCCAACCAAACAGAACGUAAAAGUUAUGUUUGAACGUAUAACAAAUCGAAGGAGAACCAAAAUGAGAAUCCGGCGACUUGUACAUGGUUAGAUUUUGAUGAGAACCAAAACGAGAACCUCUUCGGGGUGACACGGACAUCGAACAAAUCGGGUACAUAGUUGUCUGAUACGAAAAAGAUGUAUAAACCGAAUCAUUGAUGACAGAUCUAUAUCCCCCCCAAACCCAAUUCACACCCCAAAUAUGAACAAGAAAGGUUUGGCCAUUUUGAUGAGAACCAAGAUGAGACCUCUCUCCCCUUCUUCUUCAUCUCCAUCUGUAUCUGCAACUAACAAGAUUAAUCAAUUGCAGCUUUCUCCUGGGGAAGGAAACAAAUCACCUGCUCUGAAAAUCAACACUGAGAGAGAAUUUGAAGUUGUGAGAGAGUCGAUGAACUCAGCCAUAUCAAUGAACAAAACGGAAGUUCUAGAUGUCGUACUAAAUGAUUUCUCAGAGGGUUAUUUUAGCCUUUCAAGCGAAAACCGCCGAAAAUUGCUCCUUAUACUUGCUAGAGAAUAUGAUCUUAAUAGGGCACAACUUCACGAGUUGAUUAGGCAAUAUCUUGGGCUUGAGAUACCCCAAGGUGACAAAGCUGAACCUACUAGCCAUGAAGAGGAAGGCCGGCUUGCUGCUUUCUACAGGGUUGAGAGGAAUUUGAGACAUGCUCUAAAGCCAAUGUAUGAAGUUUUAUUUGAACGUCUCAACACACACCCUGGAGGGUUGAAGUUCUUGUCCAUUAUUCGAGCGGAUACUCUAUCUAUUCUCGAGGAGGAAAGUAUUGCAUCUUUGCGAGCACUAGAUUCCUACUUAAAAGAGAAGCUUAUUACAUGGCUUAGUCCUGCUUGUCUGGAGCUUCAUCAAAUUACAUGGGAUGAUCCUGCUUCUUUGUUGGAAAAAAUUGUGGCAUUUGAAGCUGUGCAUCCAAUCAGCAAUCUUAUAGAUCUUAAAAGAAGGUUGGGAGUUGGCCGUCGUUGUUUUGGAUAUUUACAUUCAGCAAUACCUGGUGAACCACUAAUCUUUAUUGAAGUUGCACUUAUGAAGGAUGUGGCUCAGACAAUACAGGAAGUUUUGUGGGAUGAUCCCCCAAUACCUGAAUGUGAGGCAACUUGUGCGUUGUUUUACUCUAUAUCAUCAACUCAGCCUGGCUUGAAAGGUGUCAACCUUGGAAAGUUCCUUAUUAAACGUGUGAUUGAUGUGGUUAAAAAAGAGAUGCCAAAUAUUUCUACAUUUGCAACACUCAGCCCUAUCCCGGGGUACAUGCAAUGGCUUCUCUCUAAGUUGGCCUCAGCAGAGAGAUCUGAUUCCACCUUCAGGGAGAACAUACUUGAACCAGAAGAGGAAAGAGCACUUUUGGAAGCAUCUCUGGAGUUUUCUGGUGAGAAAAAUGCAAUGGAAAUAAUGUGGAACUUGUUGACAUCAACCAACCAUGAGUGGACUAAAUCUGAGAGGCUGAUAUCAGUAUUGGAAGCCCCUCUGAUGCGAUUAUGCACCAGGUAUCUUCUGCAAGAAAAGAAGAGAGGGAAAGCACUAGAUUCUGUUGCUAAUUUCCACUUACAGAAUGGAGCGAUGGUUGGAAGACUUAAUUGGAUGGCAGAUCGAUCAGAGAAAGGUCUUCUUCAAAGUGGAGGAAUUAUGGUUAAUUAUAUCUAUAGGUUGGAGAAUAUUGAAGAGAAUGCUCAGUCAUAUGUUAAUACAGGGCAAAUCCAUGCUUCUUGUGAUGUUUGUCACAUUGUUGAGCCAGUGAAGGACAAUGAAGUAAUAAAGGAUUAGGCAUCAACGGGGCAAAUAAUGAUGGAUAAUUUAUCUUCUAUCUCAUCAUUGAGGUAACAUAUGGAUAGGGUUUUGGAGGGAAAAAAGAGAGCUGAGAGAGUGGGAGAACUGUGGUGCACUCCAUAAGAUGGGAUAUCAGCUCAGAAACUGUAUAUCUUUAUUAUCAAUGGCAAGUAGUGAUGAUUUAGUGUUAUACUACUUGCUAUCUUUGUUGAGACAACUUGAGCCCAGAAUUGUGCCAAAAGAAAUGAAAAUAUCUUUAGUACCUGGCAAAAAAUAUCUUCUGGCCUAUGUGGAUUGGGUUUGUAAAUUUCUUUGGUGUUUUAUACAGAAAGAGGCUGCUAUUCGUAUCGCAUUAAUUUUUUUAAA